UCAUCAGAAGCAGCCCACCGGCUGGAGUCCCUCACAGGGUGGAGGGAGGCACAGUUGGCGGCAGAACAGUCCCUGUGAGUCUGAACUUCAGCCCGAGUAGGGCAGCAGCCAGCCUUCCAACCCCGUGCAGACAGUCGGAAACGGCCAGGCUACCAGGUGCCCAGUGCUCAGAGUCGGGGAGGCAGGGAGCAACUGCCAGCUGCCAGCCACCACCACAGGCUGCUGGUUCCAAAGUACAAGGUCCCCACAGCCCCAGACACUGUGAAGCUGCUCCAAGAGCCACGGGAAGAGACACCCAGAGCCAAGCCAUCAGCAGAAAACCGGAGUAGGAAGGCCGAGGAGGUGAGGCUGGGAGCGGCUGAGGAGGCUGCAGGGCCUCCCCCCGGCCCAGCUCCACGGCCUUUCACGGCUGCCUCUGGAACACAGGUCAGCGCUGAGAAAGCGAUGACUCAGGACUGUACAGCGGCUUCUUCUCAGCAAAAAUGAGGCCCAACUUCUCCCCAUCAAACUGCUCCGAGACCACCGCAAGCUGACGAGCACAGAUCCACACAGCUGGGGAAGCGGCCAGGCCAGACCCGAGGGGGCCCAGGAUGCACAGGACGGAGAGAGAGAAAGAAGGAGGAGGGAGAGGCAGCCUCUGACCUGCAGCGGCGGAGUCGAAGCCGGCAGGACCACGAGCCCUGAGCCGGGCCCAGCGCCCCCACCGUCCUGCCAGCAAACCCGGUUACUGGCCAACACCUCAAGCUGCAGCCAACAGACCUAAGUCCAUUUUUUUGCAGGAUUCCACUGAGAUGACACCCAGGAAAAUGCAAGACUUUAGGGCCAAGUAUCAUAUCAACGGGCUGCGAGGACCAGGAGUGGCCACAGAGCACAGGGAGCCUCCGGGGCAGUGGAGGAACUCUACACCUUCACCCGGUCGCGAUUCCACGACCACUUCAGAGCUGGACACCUACAAAGGGUGAAGUUUCCUGUAGUUCAUGUAGACCUCAAUAAAUGCGACUUAGAAAUAAGCCACAGGAUGGGGAAGUGGAGGGAAAGU